rnacentral:sRNA from 2 species
UCCGGGCCGACGCCGAGUUCUGUCCACGGUCCGCAGCUCCCUCCGAGAGAUCUUGGGCAGAAGCGGGGGAACCACGUUCCUCCGGGUGGCUCGUUGCGGGCCACCCUUGGGGUUAAGCCGUUACGCGCACGCCGCGGAAACGGCCGGGCUUCCCGGCCCGAACCCGACAGCUAACCUCGCAGGCGUACGGGAAGGACUC